AGUGAACGCUGGCGGUAGGCCUAACACAUGCAAGUCGAACGGCAGCACAGUAAGAGCUUGCUCUUACGGGUGGCGAGUGGCGUACGUGUGAGGAAUACAUCGGAAUCUACUUUUUCGUGGGGGAUAACGUAGGGAAACUUACGCUAAUACCGCAUACGACCCACGGGGGAAAGCAGGGGAUCUUCGGACCUUGCGGGAUUGAAUGAGCCGAUGUCGGUUUAGCUGGUUGGCGGGGUAAAGGCCCACCCAGGCGACGAUCCGUAGCUGGUCUGAGAGGAUGAUCAGCCACAUUGGAGCUGAGCCACGGUCCAGACUCCUACGGGAGGCAGCAGUGGGGAAUAUUGGACAAUGGGCGCAAGCCUGAUCCAGCCAUACCGCGUGGGUGAAGAAGGCCUUCGGGUUGUAAAGCCCUUUUGUUGGGAAAGAAAAGCAGCAGGUUAAUACCACGCUGUUCUGACGGUACCCAAAGAAUAAGCACCGGCUAACUUCGUG
rnacentral:rRNA from 1 species